GUUGUGGCUCAGUGGUAGAGUGCUUUCCUAGCAUGUGUGAGGCACUGGGUUUGAUUCUCAGCACCACA
rnacentral:tRNA from 1 species